rnacentral:miRNA from 14 species
AGGCAUCCAAAGGGAUCGCAUUGAUCCCAAAUCUAAUUAAGUCCCUAGCUACUUAAUUAACAACUUAAUUUCCUUAAUAUCUCAUAAUAUUUGGGAUCAUGCUAUCCCUUUGGAUUCAU